GAAAUGCGAUACUUGGUGUGAAUUGCAGAAUUCAGUGAAUCAUCGAAUCUUUGAACGCAUCUUGCGCUCCUUGGUACUCCGAGGAGCAUGCCUGUUUGAGUGUCAUUAAAUUCUCAACUCUCUUAUACUUUGUUGUAAAAGAGGGCUUGGAUUGUGGAGGUUUGCUGGCAACUUGUUGGGGUCAGCUCCUCUGAAAUGCAUUAGCGGAACCGUUUGCGAUCUGCCACAAGUGUGAUAAACUAUCUACACUGGCGAGGGGAUUGCUCUGUGUUGUUCAGCUUCUAAUCGUCUCAGUUUUACGAGACAACUUUUUGAAUACUUGACCUCAAAUCAGGUAGGACUACCCGCUGAACUUAA
rnacentral:misc_RNA from 1 species